rnacentral:lncRNA from 1 species
GAGACUGAUUUGAGUAAUAAUAAAACUACUGUCUCCCACACAGCCGGCUCUGCAUGAAUUGCUCUUUAUUGCAAUUCCCCUGUCUUGAGAAAUCGCUUCUGUCUAGGCAGCGGGCAAGGUGAGCCCAUUGGGCAGUUACAAGGAGACACGGAGACACAGAGACACAAAGACAGACACACAAAAAAGAGACUGUCAUGUGAAAAGACAGACACACAGAGAGAACAUCGUAAGAAGACAGAGGAGGAGAUUGGAGAGAAGCAACUGUAAGCCAAGGAACACCAAAGACUGCAGGAAACCCCAAAAACUAGGAACAGGGCAUGGAACAGAUUCUACCCAUAUUCUCAGGAAGAGUCCCUGCCAACACCUGGAAUUCAAGCUUCUGGAUUCCAGAUCUAAAAAACCUGGGCUUAGAUAAUGAUUACGCCAAACCACUGGAUUCAAGAAAAAGCUCGUCAUGCCCAACUAUUGCAUGACAGUAUGUGAGAGCCAACCGACUAAAGAUAUUUUAGGAGAAUAAAAUAUUUGGAGAGCAUUGGAGUAAGGACUGUCAUUCCUGGAAUGGAAGCAUUUAAUUAAAAUGACCAUAAGCCUGAAGUGACUGGGGCAUGGGAAUAUCCUUGAUGAGAAGAUAGUGAAGCAUGUAACACCCUGGGAUAGAUGGUGCUGAUGGAACAUUUUGAGGAGACCCAAGUUGUUGGUGGAGGUGAUGGGAGACUCAGGACAACAGAAAGUAUGGGAUUUUCAAUGCUGCAGAAAUGGGGCUGAUAUGGUUUGGCUCUGUCCCCACCCAAAUAUCACCUUGAACUGUAGCUCCC